GACGAACGCUGGCGGCGUGCUUAACACAUGCAAGUCGAACGGAAAGGCCCUGCUUUUGUGGGGUGCUCGAGUGGCGAACGGGUGAGUAACACGUGAGUAACCUGCUCUUGACUUUGGGAUAACUUCAGGAAACUGGGGCUAAUACCGGAUAGGAGCUCCUGCUGCAUGGUGGGGGUUGGAAAGUUUCGGCGGUUGGGGAUGGACUCGCGGCUUAUCAGCUUGUUGGUGGGGUAGUGGCUUACCAGGGCUUUGACGGGUAGCCGGCCUGAGAGGGUGACCGGCCACAUGGGGACUGAGAUACGGCCAAGACUCCUACGGGAGGAAGCGGGGGGGAAUAUGGCACAAUGGGCGGAAGCCUGAGGCGGGAACGCCGCGUGCGGGAUGACGGCCUUCGGGUUGUAAACCGCUUUCGCCUGUGACGAAGCGUGAGUGACGGUACUGGGUAAAGAAGCACCGGCUAACUACGUG
rnacentral:rRNA from 1 species